rnacentral:snoRNA from 1 species
UACAGGUUUUAAAAAUUUUUUGAGUAGGAAUCUCAUUUUGCCAUCCAGACUGGA